ACACUAUGAUCGGUAUUACCAUCACGUGGUAACCAAUUUUGUGCAUUGCUGAACAGGAAAACAACAAAAUAUAAUCUGUCAGAAAUUGUCGCACUAGGUCAUCAAAUAUUAGUAGAGCGAAAUAUCCUAUAAGCAACUGUACUAUAUAAUAGCAAAUGGAAACCGUCAAUAUGUCGUCGACAUCUCUGCACUUUCGAGACAAAAUACAAAAGGAAACGGAUAAUUUGUCGACAGUGGAAACAGAAAAACAUAGCCAUCAUCCAGGAAGGUUUGAUGAACAUUGUCGGAAGCGUUGGGGGCGUCUGGCUACAGUGCUUUUGUACGUAAUCUGUAUAUCCAUGUCCGCCAUCGUUCUGGGACUUUACUACGCCCUGGCCUGGGAUCCAGCACCCAAGAUAAUGACUUUCAGCGAAGGGGAGAUUAUUUCAGAAUCUACCAGCUUCGUUCGCAGUGUCCGAAGGGGUUAGUUCAGGCAGAGAGAAAAUCAACACGUAUGUCACGGCAGGAAAGCCAUUUUUACGGAUAUAACGUAUUGCGAGACAAUCUAUAGAUGAUGUGUACAAGCAUUGAUGUUUUUACACUAAACUGUGUACAUAAUCUAAAGCCUCGGAAGACCCUAUUACACAUAUGCAAUAUGUUUUUCAUCUCAUCUGUUAAUCCCAUAAUUCUAAAACCCGUUGUGUAUAUACAUGUAUAUGUUUACAGAAGUAUGUUUCCCGCCAUAUUAAAAUAUUUCAUUGACGUCUCUUCGGGAAUGUUUCUCCGUCAGCUGUAAUUAAUGUACCACAUGUAUGUGUCGAGCUUUACAUUGUAUUUUGUUUGACUGUAAAUGGAAGUGAUUACUCUGUUGUUUUAAAAGAACGUUUCUUUGGCUAUUGUACACAAAGCGUUCAAUAUGACUAUAAUUGGAAUUCCAGAACUGUUAAAACUGACAUUGUCACCUAUUAAAUAAUACUGAUUACUUGUAAUUUGUUAAUAACA